UCCAGGGUAGCCUAGUGGACAUGGCAUCUGCCCGGUAAGCAGAACACUGUGGGUUCGAUUCCCAUCCCUGGAU